AUGCAGCCAUGCCGCGUGUGUGAAGAAGGCCUUCGGGUUGUAAAGCACUUUCAGUAGGGAGGAAGGUAGUGUAGUUAACACCUGCAUUAUUUGACGUUACCUACAGAAGAAGCACCGGCUAACUCCGUGCCAGCAGCCGCGGUAAUACGGAGGUGCGAGCGUUAAUCGGAAUUACUGGGCGUAAAGCGCAUGCAGGCGGCCUGUUAAGUCAGAUGUGAAAGCCCCGGGGCUUAACCUCGGAAUUGCAUUUGAAACUGGCAGGCUAGAGUCUUGUAGAGGGGGUAGAAUUUCAGGUGUAGCGGUGAAAUGCGUAGAGAUCUGAAGGAAUACCAGUGGCGAAGGCGGCCCCCCUGGACAAAGACUGACGCUCAGAUGCGAAAGCGUGGGGAGCAAACAGGAUUAGAUACCCUGGUAG
rnacentral:rRNA from 1 species